rnacentral:rRNA from 1 species
CCUACGGGUAGCAGCAGUGAGGAAUAUUGGUCAAUGGGCGCGAGCCUGAACCAGCCAAGUAGCGUGAAGGAUGACUGGCCUACGGGUUGUAAACUUCUUUUAUAAAGGAAUAAAGUGAGGCACGUGUGCCUUUUUGUAUGGACUUUAUGAAUAAGGAUCGGCUAACUCCGUGCUAGCAGCAGCGGUAAUACGGAGGGACCGAGCGUUAUCCGGAUUUAUUGGGUUUAAAGGGAGCGCAGAUGGGUUGUUAAGUCAGUUGUGAAAGUUUGCGGCUCAACCGUAAAAUUGCAAUUGAUACUGGCAGCCUUGAGUACAGUUGAGGUAGGCGGAAUUCGUGGUGUAGCGGUGAAAUGCUUAGAUAUCACGAAGAACUCCGAUUGCGAAGGCAGCUUACUAAACUGCCACUGACAUUGAUGCUCGAAAGUGUGGGUAUCAAACAGGAUUAGAUACCCUUGUAGUC